rnacentral:pre_miRNA from 1 species
AAGGAGCUCACAGUCUAUUGAGUUGCCUUUCUGACUGUCCCACUAGAUUAUGAGCUCCUGGA